CAAGCUAGCCUCCAGGCUGAGACUUACUUGAGCACUUGCUGUCUAAUGUUGUUUCGGAGCUGGUUCUUAUUGAGGUGGGGACUCCAAGUAUGAGUUGCCAAGUGGUUCGCAACAAAAUUGUCAACACGUUGCCUCAGGUUCUGAUUACAGUAUCAAUGUGGCGACUAAGUUUCUCAGCUUAGGACCAUGCCACUUCAGGACAACUGAAGACAUUCAACUGCUACUUAUUUUGUCUAAGACACAAUGUUUGGAGAUGUAAAGAACACAAAGAAGUAAGACAUCCCUCUUAUUUAUAUACAAGGGACUAGAAAAUAAGACAGAUAUUAGUGUUAGCUGAUUUGGAGCAAAGAAAAGGAGAGGAGUAGAGGAAUUAAGUCUUCAUUGAGAACAAGGCAUUUGAGUUGGACCUUCAAGGUUUCCCCAACACAGAGCUGGUAAUUGGAAAGGUGGGCCUUGCACAUACAGCCAACAAUAGAAGCAAAGACCAACUGGACGAGAAAACGUGGAGGUCAGAUUCUGCCUCAGUCCUUCCACACUGACUGGUCUCUACUUUGAAUGCUCAGCUCCAUAUAGCUAGAUGGCUCCUUCAGGUCCUUCAGUGAUGGCUCAAGUAUCACCUUACUGAAAUCUUCCCCGGAAAACUCACUGAACACAAAUCAGCAACCCUUUCUACCCUCACCCUGCAUUAUUUAUUCCAUAGAACCUAUGACACAUUACUUCCUGCCUGUUUUUCUCUGCUGGGAUGCAACUCCAUAACAGCAGGGAGGUUUUGUUCACUGCAAUAUCCUGGCAUCUAACACAGUGCCUGGUACAUAUUUGUUGGGUGAAUAAAUAUAUAUGCUCUUUGAUAUUCCUUUCAAAUUUAAAAAGAAAAAGGCAAUAAUCACAGUGACUAGAAGCCAUUUGUAACUGAGAAAGUAUCCAAAAAUCGGCCUCUGUUACCUGGGGAGAAAGGCUGGUGAGCUCCCUGCCUGGGACAGAAUGAUGGGCCUCUCUUGAUCUUCCCUCUCCACUCUCCAGUGUGACCUCAGAACAAAAGGGUCAGAAUAGCCUUGUAAUCUCUCCGCUUGCUCCAGGAAUCUGGGAACUAGUAAUCUAUAUAGCAGAGGAGCCUCAGCAGUAGUUAGAUCUUGAUGUCCAAGGCUCCAAUUCUUUGAUAGAAGGCUGAUUUGGUCUGCUAUGGUCAUUCCUCUCUUGGUUGGUUAAGGACCAUCAAUGACCCCAGGAUAGUUUGGAGGGUUUUACAGACUUGUGGAGUGGCAGCAGACUUUGGUUAUUUCUCAUCUUGCUUUAAACACACAGGACUGGAUGACAGUUUUGCUCUUGGAAAGCACCUGAUAGGUAUUAAAUGUCUUGAUUUUUAAAUAUGCAUGUGACUGACACUCUAGUUACUGCUACGACCCUAUACAGUAUAUACUGCAGGUCAGAGUUUGACAUAAAGCAGGUCAGUCUUCAGGGUGUCAAUUAUCAAAAGCACCAUACCACAAGUGGUCUCAAUUAUAAGGUGUUCUUACAGCUGAGACUCAACAGUUCCAUUAAAGUGAUGCUCCUUUGCAUGAGGGAAUCUUAUGUCUAUUCUGGCCCAUUCAUCACAUUAAGAGGAUGUUGAGCUCAUAUGGAAAAAAAAAAAAAAAAAAACUUGGCUUCUGUAUGUUUUCUGAGACUUUCAAACUUGUCUUUUUUUUUUAUUUAAAUAAGGAAAGGGAGUAUAAGAUGCUACAAAAUAAGAACAAAUACUUUAAAUUAAAAUCUACAUGAUUGUAAAGCUACAGAAGAGGAAGACAAUCAUGGGAGAAAGCAGCAAGAUAAUCAACCAGAAACAUCAGGCACAGAGGUAGAAAGACAAAGGGAAAAAGAGGGGAGGCAUCAGGAGUGAAGAAAGAGACAUGAGAGGUGAGGAAAGAAUUUCCACCAUACCCAGGCUUCCUCUUCUGCCAGGGAAGGGCUAUCAUUUCAGUUCUACUCUUCUCUAGUUUCAAACAUUAAAACAAGGGACCUUAUUCUGCGGCCACUGAACUCCUUGAAACUAUAUACUAGGUUGAGCCAUGUGUAAUUGAUUAUAGUAAACCAUUUCUGAAUUUUAAAGACUGUAUUUUAAUGUGUACAUGUCCGUUUUUCUUAGGAGAUUGUAAAGGCAACUGUGCUUCCUUCCUUCCCACCAAUAAAGGUUUUAAGACUCCACUUUGAGAGGAUGUGGCAGGGACAUUACCAACAGGCAACAAUAACAUUUAGUGGCAACAAGAUGAAGAAAAAGUUGAGCCUUAGAUAUUGUAGUGCCUCCAUCAGCAUAUUUAAGUUUCCAAUGUGGGUACACAAAGACAAAAUACAGACAGGUCUCUAAGUUUCUGAGAACAGCAAAAUGAGAUCUCUGCUUGCUCGAUACAAAUAACCAGCUUUGGGUAACAUCUACCUGGACUUGUCUGAUCUCCCAUUAAGGAAAAAAAAGGGGGGGGGGACAAUUGGCAUUAUUUUCAAAAAGAUGGCUGUGCAUAUUCCCUAAAACAAAGAGGGUAAACUAUAUACUUCCUACGUAGAAAAACAUCCCCAAGCAUACUGAAUUCUCUGUGGUGUUAAAACCCCAACACUGUAAACAGGUGCCCUUCUACCAGGUCUACCAGGUGGACCGGGGGUAUCCCCAGACUGCCCAGACGGUUUUCCCCAGAGGAGACAGCAGAAUUGCGUGCAGUUCUCAUUCAAUCCUGGUGAACUUUGCAUCUCCCGAGGAAGAAUCUGUGGAAUCUGCAAACGCUCUUUUCUCAAAGACAUGGGGUUUCCUCAGAGAGGCUGAAUGUGGGACGCCCGGGUGGCUCAGGGGUUGAUCCUCUGCCUGCAGCCCAGGGCGUGCUCCU